AUACGCGACGGGGUAUUGU
rnacentral:snRNA from 1 species